GUGCCCAUAGCUCAGUUUGGUUAGAGCAUCCGACUCAUAAUCGGCAGGUCCUCGGUUCAAGUCCGAGUGGGCGCACCA
rnacentral:tRNA from 5 species